rnacentral:rRNA from 1 species
GUGGAUUAGAUACCCUGGUAGUCCACGCCGUAAACGAUGGAUACUAGCUGUUCGGAGCAAUCUGAGUGGCUAAGCGAAAGUGAUAAGUAUCCCACCUGGGGAGUACGAACGCAAGUUUGAAACUCAAAGGAAUUGACGGGGGCCCGCACAAGCGGUGGAGCAUGUGGUUUAAUUCGAUGAUACGCGAGGAACCUUACCAAGGCUUAAAUGUAGAUUGACCGAUUUGGAAACAGAUUUUUCGCAAGACAAUUUACAAGGUGCUGCACGGUUGUCGACAACU